GGCGGCGUGCUUAACACAUGCAAGUCGAACGAUGAAGCCCUUCGGGGUGGAUUAGUGGCGAACGGGUGAGUAACACGUGGGCAAUCUGCCCUUCACUCUGGGACAAGCCCUGGAAACGGGGUCUAAUACCGGAUAACACUCCUGCCUGCAUGGGCGGGGGUUAAAAGCUCCGGCGGUGAAGGAUGAGCCCGCGGCCUAUCAGCUUGUUGGUGGGGUAAUGGCCCACCAAGGCGACGACGGGUAGCCGGCCUGAGAGGGCGACCGGCCACACUGGGACUGAGACACGGCCCAGACUCCUACGGGAGGCAGCAGUGGGGAAUAUUGCACAAUGGGCGAAAGCCUGAUGCAGCGACGCCGCGUGAGGGAUGACGGCCUUCGGGUUGUAAACCUCUUUCAGCAGGGAAGAAGCGAAAGUGACGGUACCUGCAGAAGAAGCGCCGGCUAACUACGUGCCAGCAGCCGCGGUAAUACGUAGGGCGCAAGCGUUGUCCGGAAUUAUUGGGCGUAAAGA
rnacentral:rRNA from 1 species